CCACGCCGUAAACGAUGUCGACUUGGAGGUUGUUCCCUUGAGGAGUGGCUUCCGGAGCUAACGCGUUAAGUCGACCGCCUGGGGAGUACGGCCGCAAGGUUAAAACUCAAAUGAAUUGACGGGGGCCCGCACAAGCGGUGGAGCAUGUGGUUUAAUUCGAUGCAACGCGAAGAACCUUACCUACUCUUGACAUCCAGAGAACUUAGCAGAGAUGCUUUGGUGCCUUCGGGAACUCUGAGACAGGUGCUGCAUGGCUGUCGUCAGCUCGUGUUGUGAAAUGUUGGGUUAAGUCCCGCAACGAGCGCAACCCUUAUCCUUUGUUGCCAGCGGUCCGGCCGGGAACUCAAAGGAGACUGCCAGUGAUAAACUGGAGGAAGGUGGGGAUGACGUCAAGUCAUCAUGGCCCUUACGAGUAGGGCUACACACGUGCUACAAUGGCGCAUACAAAGAGAAGCGACCUCGCGAGAGCAAGCGGACCUCAUAAAGUGCGUCGUAGUCCGGAUUGGAGUCUGCAACUCGACUCCAUGAAGUCGGAAUCGCUAGUAAUCGUAGAUCAGAAUGCUACGGUGAAUACGUUCCCGGGCCUUGUACACACCGCCCGUCACACCAUGGGAGUGGGUUGCAAAAGAAGUAGGUAGCUUAA
rnacentral:rRNA from 1 species